UGGGGAAUUUUGGACAAUGGGCGAAAGCCUGAUCCAGCAAUGCCGCGUGUGUGAAGAAGGCCUUCGGGUUGUAAAGCACUUUUGUCCGGAAAGAAAUCCUUGGCUCUAAUACAGUCGGGGGAGUGACGGUACCGGAAGAAUAAGACCGGCUAACUACGUGCCAGCAGCCGCGGUAAUACGUAGGGUGCAAGCGUUAAUCGGAAUUACUGGGCGUAAAGCGUGCGCAGGCGGUUUUGCUAAGACCGAUGUGAAAUCCCCGGGCGUCAACCUGGGCAACUGGCAAUUGGUGAUGCUGGGCAGGCUAGAGUAUGGCAGAGGGGGGUGAAAUUCCACGUGUAGCAGUGAAAUGCGUAGAGAUGUGGAGGAAUACCGAUGGCGAAGGCAGCCCCCUGGCAAGUCACUGACGCUCAUGCACGAAAGCGU
rnacentral:rRNA from 1 species